UGGGAGGGGGAAGCUGCGACUCUGGACCUGGAGCCGGAGCAGGAGCUCAUUUCCAAGCCAGUCCGUAUCUCGACUACGACGAGGGAACUGCUGUAGUUGUCGCUGCAGCCGCAACGCGAGCCUACGUCACUGUCUCGUCUGAUUUUCUCAAACCAGACCACACUGCAAGUUCUUCUACGAUAAAAAUAGGAAAAGGGCUGCACAUGUAGGCGGUGAGUGUUACAACAGAAAAUACGGACGAGAAGUUUCAUAUUCGCUCGUUGAGAACCUGAGGAACGGGGUGGCCGAUAACACAGUUUCUGCGACAGACAUCGCCGUGAUUGCACGGCAACUUCUCCGACACAUCUGUUAAGCGGGUCAGUAUAAGGAAUUUCUUCAGGCGUUAUCGACAUUCUCAUAUUUGAACAAAUAAGACUGUAAUACAAUUGGCAAAUAAAAUUUGUCUUAGACCCUGACUGUACAUCCGUUCUUUCGUCCGUCCGUCCUUCUGAUUUAACGUAUAUUCAGUAAAGUUAACGCUGCCUUUCCUUAAAUUUAUCGUCUAAAUUCAAUGUUAAAUGACUGGUUGAAAUUAGGACAAGCUUUCGAAAAAAUUGAACUAUAAAUGUUUCAUUAGCAAACAAUAAAAGAAGGUUCUCUUUGGGGAAAAUUGAUUCAGUAUUCGUCUAACAAACAAUUUUUGAGAGACGAAGUCGUGGAAAUCUUCGAAAUAUGAAAAACAUUUUACAACCUCCAAAGGAAAAUGUAUUAAAAUGUAGACGCAGAGAAAGAUGACAAAUUGAAAGGAAAGUUUUAUUGAUCACUGAAGCUUUAACAAACAAUACUGCAUACUCAGUGAAGUGGAAAAGAAGAAGAAGUGGAAGAAUUAUUAGGACCACAUUAAAAUUUAUCUUGGGAUUUUGCAUAAUCAGUGGCUAAAGACUAAAACGCCGAAGGCAGAAAGUCGUCUAUGGCGUUAGGAAUGUUCUUCCUGCGCACCAAUCAGACUUUCCUGUGCUACCAUUGCCUCUUGUCCACUGCUGGGGCAUAGAAAGCUGACGCGGCAUUCUAAUCAGUUACUUCAAGAUACGUAACGAAUUGAGCGGUUCCCAAGCCGCUCUCUACGUGUGGUAAAUUCUUGUUCCUUACAAGAAUAUCUUAAAACGAAUUUUGUUAUUUAUAUUUUUUCUAAAGUUCUAUUUUACAAUCAUAAAAAACACAUUAUUCCACUUCUCUUUGUAAUAAUUUAAAUUUUUAAUAUAUGGUAAUUAUUCUAACAGUUCCUUACCCUUUCAUAGACACUACAACUAUAAAGGUCCAAUAAAAAAUAAAUAUACAACUAAUAAAAUUAAAUUUAUACCUGUACUUAAUCACAGCGCCAUGAACACGUAUGGGGCGCGGAGGUUUAGCGCCAAGAAUUAUUAACGUCUGCUCAAGACAGAGGUCACUGAACAUUACCGAACUUGGGCCGCUUUACCGCCGGGGAUAAUGAAUUCGAUACCUACUGAACAAAAGACUGUGCAGGAUCCACAGUGGAGGCGAAAACAUACAUUAAUAUUUUCGCCCUGAAUCGAACACCGGUCACUCAGCCCAUUCCAGUCACUUAAUAACUGGACUAACUAGAUUAAAUCCGUAGGGUUAAAUCAUUUCUUUGUAGUAAAUAAUUUCUCUGCUCUUUUUGGAACUAAAGGGUCCAUUACCAUGAAGAUAAGAGUCCGCCUCUACACUGUGUCUUAAAUAAAGAAAUAAUUCCGAAAAAGUGCAAUGGAUGUUUUGCUUCAGCUGCAAUAUUGCUAUACAAAUAAUCACUUAUUUAUAAGGGAAUGAAUAUAAUUUACAGACCUUAAAAACUUACAUGUCGCGUUCUUCUCCGCAGACCCUGAAAGAACGAAUUCCCCGUGUCAGAUGAAGUACCACAGAAUGUACUCCAAAUUGAGUGUUAGAAGUCCCGAUUGUAGCCAUUCUGCUGCCUCGGAUGGCUUUGAUUGAAAUGUAAAUUUCGCGUCCUGGGACUUUAAUUAAAACGUGAAGCAUUUUCAUCUUCAUCCAUUCAAAUCAAACCCUCUUUCUCUUUACAACUACUAUGCCAGUUGUUUAAUUAGUUUUACAUUGUACGCCGGAUUAAUAUCCUAAUAUCUCAAGUAUUUAAAUUGAAUCCACGAACAGCAUACAUUCAGAGUUCAGAGAAAUCAUCAAGGCUACGGAUCUUGCAAGAUGUUCCCUGAUCCUUUCCUUCGCAUUCAAAGUCUCUCGAUUUAGCCUGUCAUUGUUUGUUUGUUUGUUUGCAUACACCCAGAACGUAAAUAGACUAUAGAGGACGGGCGGGCAGAGUGAAAGGCGGGCAAAUAUAUCUAGAUUUUCUUUCCAAAACUACAUUCAUAACUAAAAUUAAUAUAAUUUAAAAUAAAUAUUACUUGUAUCAUUUUAUCGACACAAUAUGUAAUUGUCAUAUUCAACUCACAAAAAUUGCUCUUUAAAAGCAGUGAAAAACACUUGAAAAUACGUUAUUUGUCGAAUUUCCAAGUUCUUACAAACAAACAGAGUGACAGUGCCUUAACAAUGACCACUGUCGCUUAUAUUCACACCCUUUUAAAUUCCUAAUAUUAUAUCAAGACGAUAAAACGUCGUUAAAUAACCUCACAAACGUACAACUUGCAGGCAGAGACUUCUAUGGAAGGCUGUUGUAUUACAGUUCGUGCAUUUACUUGAAGACCUGGGCGUUUACCAGGCAUAUUACGCGUCUAUCAAGGCUGUGGAACAGGGCUCUAAUUUGCAUAUGCUUGCACACGAUAUUGCGUCGCGCCCCACCCGACAGGUACCCAUUGUCGUUGGGUAUCAAAAGAGGACGGCGAACACCGGAUCCGAGAAUCUAAUAGACAUCCAUGACGAACUAAAUACAGAGUGAAGAUUUUUGUCUUCUGGGUUGUU